rnacentral:rRNA from 1 species
GGCUCCUGGCUUUCACGGGUACAGGGACUAGGGUUCGAUUCUGGAGAAGGAGCCUGAGAACGGCUACUACAUCUACGGAAGGCAGCAGGCGCGUAAAUUACCCAAUCCCUACUCAGGGAGGUGGUAACAAGAUAUAACGACCCGAUUAAUGUCGUGAUUGUAGUGAGGAUAUUCCAACAGAAUCACAAGAACGAUUAGAGGGCAAGUCUGGUGCCAGCAGCCGCGGUAAUUCCAGCUCUAAUAGCGUAUAUUAAAGUUGCUGCAGUUAAAAAGCUCGUAGUUGGAUUUCAAGGAUUGUGUACUCUUUUAGUGUUAUGCACUCUACUAGUCUUUGACUGUUACUGUGAGAAAAUUAGAGUGUUUAAAGCAGCAAUUGCAAGAAUACAUUAGCAUGGAAUAACGAAUGUAUCUAGAAUCUUGGUUAAUCUAGUUCGAUAAAAGAGACAGAAGGGGGCAUAGAUUAUUGCAGAGUGAAUUCUUGGAUUGUAAGACUACGUAUGCAAAGCAUUGCAGGAUGUUUCAUAAUCACGACCAACCGAUACGGGAUCAAGACAUCAGAUACUGUCGUAGUCCUAUCUAUAACUAUGCGACUAGGAUUGAGUGAUAUUCACCAUUUCAGUACUUAUGAGAAUCAAGUCUUUGGGUUCUGGGGGGAGUAUGUCGCAGACUGACUUAGAUGACGAGACACCAGGAUGGAGCUGCGCU